GUUGAACGCUGGCGGCAGGCCUAACACAUGCAAGUCGAGCGGAUGAAGGGAGCUUGCUCCUGGAUUCAGCGGCGGACGGGUGAGUAAUGCCUAGGAAUCUGCCUGGUAGUGGGGGAUAACGUCCGGAAACGGGCGCUAAUACCGCAUACGUCCUGAGGGAGAAAGUGGGGGAUCUUCGGACCUCACGCUAUCAGAUGAGCCUAGGUCGGAUUAGCUAGUUGGUGGGGUAAAGGCCUACCAAGGCGACGAUCCGUAACUGGUCUGAGAGGAUGAUCAGCCACACUGGAACUGAGACACGGUCCAGACUCCUACGGGAGGCAGCAGUGGGGAAUAUUGGACAAUGGGCGAAAGCCUGAUCCAGCCAUGCCGCGUGUGUGAAGAAGGUCUUCGGAUUGUAAAGCACUUUAAGUUGGGAGGAAGGGCAGUAAGUUAAUACCUUGCUGUUUUGACGUUACCAACAGAAUAAGCACCGGCUAACUUCGUG
rnacentral:rRNA from 1 species